rnacentral:rRNA from 1 species
UACGUAGGGGGCAAGCGUUGUCCGGAAUCAUUGGGCGUAAAGCGCGCGUAGGCGGCCCGGUAAGUCCGCUCUGAAAGUCCAGGGCUCAACCCUGGAAAGCGGGUGGAUACUGCCGGGCUAGAAUCCGGAAGAGGCGAGUGGAAUUCCUGGUGUAGCGGUGGAAUGCGCAGAUAUCAGGAGGAACACCAAUAGCGAAGGCAGCUCGCUGGGACGUUAUUGACGCUAAGACGCGAAAGCGUGGGGAGCAAACAGG